GUCUUUAAUAAUGAUCAGUGACAGCAGAAGUUGCUUUCCUUGCCGGUUUCUGGCAGCUUUCUCUGCUACAUCCUGUUUUUGAUCAGCAGGAGCCUUACUGGUGCUGGAAAAACAAGUCCUCCUGAUCGACCUCCCUACUGCAAAGGAACUUAGGAUCAGUUCCUACGGACUGGCUGUGAUGGGAAAGAAGCACCAGCACUCGCCUUAGAACUAGCAGCCAAGCCCUUCUAAAGUGCCCAGGAGCUCCAACCAAUAAAGAGAUCAUUAGACCAUUCAGGGUACCAGUCCCACUGCUAACAAGCCCCACUGGAAUCAUUCGGGCCGGCAAAGCAGUACAGAUAAAAGCUGCCAUAAAGAGUGGGAAGGCUUUUAUUGAUGCCACUUCAGAACCGAAGAAAAAUGCAUCUUCAUGUCCAGCCUGUCAGACCCAAAGGAAAGAAUAUUCACUCACAAUGGACCUUCAUCUGGAUGUAGUUCUUUCAAGAGAAAACCCGGCUGCAAAACCAACCAGAUCUUUCAUUCCUGUCAAAAGUAUUGCUUCUCUUUCUGUAUAGGCCAAAAGAUAUAUUUAACAAGAUGGCUCAUCAGAAAAGACCUUCAGUAACAUCAGAAUUCUCAUCCAAAGUACCUGAUGAAGUAAGACAACGCUCCGUCAAACUCUUUGUUGAGAAGUAUUUGAAAGUUUGUAAAACAGAGGAUGAGGCUGUUUACAAGACAGAGUCUCACUUUGUCACCAGGCUGGAGUGCAGUGGCGCAAUCUCCACUCACUGCAACCUCCGCCUUCCAGGUUCAAGUGAUUCUCCUGCCUCAGCCUCCCAAGUAGCUGGGAUUACAGGUGCAUGCCACCACACGCAGCCAUGUUUCUAUGAAUUUUCUUAUUCUAUUUACCUCAUGUAAUUGAAAUGAUAUACUAUUUGUCCUUGUAUGUCUGACUUCAUUUAGCAUAAUGUUUUAAAGAUUUAUUCAUGUUGUAGCAUGUAUUCAAAUUUUAUUUAUUUUUACAACUGAAGAACAUUUUACUGUAUGUAUAACCAUACUUUUGUUAUCCAUUUUGUCCACUCAAUAAUGGAUGGAGAUUGUAGUUUUCUUUGCAGUAAUGAUUCUGUCUUUUUUUUGGUCUCAGGGUUAUAUUGACCUCAUAGAAUAAAUUGGAAAGUGUUUCCUCCUCUUUUAUUUUUUGGUUUAUAAGACAGCCUUAGCUUUCACUUCCUGCUUGUGCAGGGCCUCAAGGUCAGCCACUGGUGAAUGAAUAGGACUUUCUGUAUUCCCAGGUCUUAAAUGGGACACUUGUUAAACCCAGGAUUAUGUCAGAGCCUUUAAAAAUCUCUAGGGUCAUCUAAUUCUCCAAGAGUUUCUUUUAAAUUCCUAGCCAAACUAUUGUUUGCCAAACUAAAACCAUAGCCCUAGCUAGCUGUGGGUUGGAUUCACAGAACUGUUUUUUUCUUCUUUUUUUGAGACAGAAUCUCUCUCUGUCCUCCAGGCUGGAGUGCAGUGGUGUGAUCUCGACUCACUGCAACCUCCACCUCCCAGGUUCAGGCGAUUAUCCUGCCUCAGCCUGCUGAGUAGCUGGGAUUACAGGCACCUGCCACCACGCCAGGCUAAUUUUUGUGUUUUUAGUAGAGAUGUGUUUUCACCAUGUUGGCCAGGCUAGUCUCAAACUCCUGGCCUCAAGUGAUCCACCCACCUCGGCCUCCCAAAGUGCUAGGAUUACAGACAUGAGACAGUGCGCCCAGCCUAUUUUUUUUCUUCUUAAGAAACAAAUACAAAAUGUAAAAUAAGUUACUUUUCAUUGGUGGCACCAUUUCCCCCCAUUCAUUAAGUUACAUAAAUAUUUUGCCAUAUUCAUUAUAUUGCAAGUGACAUUUCUUGUUCAUAGGCUUUUGGCUUAAUAUUUCUUUUAAUUAUUCAAUUUUUGACCUAGGCUAAAAUAGAAAAAAAGGUGAUACACGAAAGGUAUAGCAGGAGAAACAUGUAUGUGAACAUAGCAGUAAAUUAUCCUAAGAAGCUAAGAGAUCAAGGUAGUUUAUUUUUUCAGUUAAUCAAGUGAUAAGAUAAAACCUGUAAUUAGUACCUGACCCUGAAUACUUUUUCUCAUUAGUAGGGCCAUCUUUGGCUUAUACCAAGGAAUUUAUUUUUAAAAUAGUCUCUUUAGUGGAAUGUGUAGGUGGUACUUUUGGUUGAAAAUCAGCUAGAUUUGAAAUUGGAUGUAUAAAUAUAACCGUAUUGACAGAGGUUAUCACUGAAAUAUUUAAACUUGUUUUCUGGUUAUAAAAGUAACUCACUUCUAUGUGGAA